rnacentral:rRNA from 1 species
UCUGGUUGAUCCUGCCUGAACUGAUGUGUUUAUUUCAUAAAUUAAGCCAUGCAUGUAUAAGUUUAAUCGUUUAUCGAGAAACCGCGAACGGCUCAUUACAAUGGCCAUUAUUUACUUGAUCUUGAUUGUCUAAAUGGAUAACUGUGGAAAAGCUAGAGCUAAUACAUGCACUAAAGCUUUGUCCUUACGGAAAAGCGCAUUUAUUAGAACAAAACCACGCGGCUUCGGCUGCUUCUUGUUGACUCAGAAUAACUUAGCUGACCGCAUGGCCUUGUGCCGGCGGCGUGUCUUUCAAGCGUCCACUUUAUCAACUUGACGGGAGCAUAAUCGACUCCCGUGGUGGUGACGGAUAACGGAGGAUCAGGGUUCGACUCCGGAGAAGGGGCCUGAGAAAUGGCCACUACGUCUAAGGAUGGCAGCAGGCGCGCAAAUUACCCACUCUCGGCUCGAGGAGGUAGUGACGAGAAAUAACGAGACUGUUCUCUUUGAGGCCGGUCAUCGGAAUGGGUACAAUUUAAACCCUUUAACGAGUAUCAAGCAGAGGGCAAGUCUGGUGCCAGCAGCCGCGGUAAUUCCAGCUCUGCAAAUACAUAGAAUUAUUGCUGCGGUUAGAAAGCUCAUAGUUGGAUUCGUAUCGAUACCUUGGAACCCUUCGGGUGUCUCUAGGUGUUAUCGAUUUAUCGUAAUGUUCGGUUUUGAGUCCUUAACAGGGUUCUUAACAGGCAUUGCAAGUUUACUUUGAACAAAUCAGAGUGCUUCAAACAGGCGUUUUCGCUUGAAUGAUCGUGCAUGGAAUAAUAGAAAAUGAUUUCGGUUCAGUUUUAUUGGUUUUACGGACUGAGAUAAUGGUUAACAGAGACAAACGGGGGCAUUUGUAUGGUCCCGUGAGAGGUGAAAUUCUUGGACCGUGGCCAGACAAACUACAGCGAAAGCAUUUGCCAAGAAUGUUUUUAUUAAUCAAGAACGAAAGUCAGAGGUUCGAAGGCGAUCAGAUACCGCCCUAGUUCUGACCGUAAACGAUGCCAACUAGCGAUCCGCCGAUGGAAAUUAUAUUGCCUUGGUGGGGAGCUUCCCGGAAACGAAAGUCUUCCGGUUCCGGGGGAAGUAUGGUUGCAAAGCUGAAACUUAAAGGAAUUGACGGAAGGGCACCACCAGGAGUGGAGCCUGCGGCUUAAUUUGACUCAACACGGGGAAACUCACCCGGCCCGGACACUGUGAGGAUUGACAGAUUGAUAGCUUUUUCAUGAUUCAGUGGAUGGUGGUGCAUGGCCGUUCUUAGUUCGUGGAGUGAUUUGUCUGGUUUAUUCCGAUAACGAGCGAGACAAUGAUCGUGCAUGGAAUAAUAGAAAAUGAUUUCGGUUCAGUUUUAUUGGUUUUACGGACUGAGAUAAUGGUUAACAGAGACAAACGGGGGCAUUUGUAUGGUCCCGUGAGAGGUGAAAUUCUUGGACCGUGGCCAGACAAACUACAGCGAAAGCAUUUGCCAAGAAUGUUUUUAUUAAUCAAGAACGAAAGUCAGAGGUUCGAAGGCGAUCAGAUACCGCCCUAGUUCUGACCGUAAACGAUGCCAACUAGCGAUCCGCCGAUGGAAAUUAUAUUGCCUUGGUGGGGAGCUUCCCGGAAACGAAAGUCUUCCGGUUCCGGGGGAAGUAUGGUUGCAAAGCUGAAACUUAAAGGAAUUGACGGAAGGGCACCACCAGGAGUGGAGCCUGCGGCUUAAUUUGAC